rnacentral:rRNA from 1 species
AUGAACGCUGACAGAAUGCUUCACCCAUGCCAGUCUUUGGCGAAGCUGUGCUUGCACAGCCUAGCCAAGGCGGACGGGUGAGUAACGCGUAAGGAACUUGCCCUGCAGUCAGGGAUAACAGACGGAAACGACUGAUAAGACCUGGUAAAGUCAGGCGGACUCAUGUCCAGCCUGAUGAAAAGAGAUGCUGCAGGAGAGCCUUGCGUCCUAUUAGCUUGUUGGUGGGGUAACGGCCCACCAAGGCGAUGAUAGGUAGCCGGCCUGAGAGGGUGGACGGCCACAAGGGGACUGAGAUACGGCCCUUACUCCUACGGGAGGCAGCAGUGGGGAAUAUUGGACAAUGGGGGCAACCCUGAUCCAGCAAUUCUGUGUGCACGAUGAAGGUUUUCGGAUUGUAAAGUGCUUUCAGCAGGGAAGAAAAAAUGACGGUACCUGCAGAAGAAGCGACGGCUAAAUACGUG